CACAACACCAACUACAACCACAACACCAUCCAGAACAACUACCCCACAAACUACAACCACUGUUGUCGCUCUGAGAAUGAGACUUGUGUCUUCAACUCCACUGUCUGAGGACGUCAUCAGGAGUACCGUCAUACAACAGAUAAGAGAUGAACUGGUGAGACUGCUGUCAGUCACGACUGUACUCAUCAGAAGUGUGCCGUCAACUCCUACAACCACAGCGACCCCUGGUGGUUCAACGUGAACAUGUAUGAAACCCUGCAGGGACAUGUUGGUGUUUAGUUGUCAGAUUUACAAUGGCAAGGUCAGCAGUUUUACUUUUACUGUUAAAAAAACACCAUUUUAAAUCUUCUUAGAUUAAAAAAAACAAAAACAUUGAUAUCGAAAUAAAAUAUUUUUUGGGUUUUGUUUAUCAGGUUUUCCAGAGGUCACAUUGAAUUAUCGAUAUAGUAUCACUAUAUCGAUACACAAUAUACACACAGAUAUAAAUAAAGCUAUGACUACAUAUAUAAUGUAUAUUCACAAAUGUGUCCUCAGUAAAAAACAGACAUAUUUAUAAUUCAGCUCACUUAUGCAACAUCAAUGCACAUUACUAACUCCAGAGAUGUGUACGGAUUGUAUAGAUACUUGUGUAAAUAGUUUAUUGUUUUUUACAUUUCUUAUUGUUAGAAAUGUUUACAGUUUGUUAAAAUAUGAUAUGUUCCAUUUUGAUUCAACAUUCAGUUGCUUGGUGGUGUUUUUUGAAUAGGUAAAUAUAGAGGUAUGUUAAAUGAACUCUUGUUUUGUUUUAAAGAUUAAAGAAUGCUGUAUUUAAUGCUGUAUUUGCAUGUAUUGAACCCAUUAGUAAUAUACAAGUGAGAUAUAUAUUCUGGUACAUUUAGAACCUCGGCUAAACGGUCUUUACUA